UAAUAUUAUUGUUUGUAUAUAUUUGAUAGUUUGGACAAGUAUGAAAUAUUGUGGUGCUGGAUUAUAGCAAUUGCACACACGGAAUGCUCUGUAAUCCGAUUGUCCACCAACUUUUGUCAGCAUUUCAUGCCUGGGUCCAAAAUACAGCAAUGUUCGCAAACAUAGAUCUAAAAUCUUCACCAACUAUUCCUUCUUAGUUCCUACCGAUAAUGGCAAAGUCAAAUUACUUUUGAAGUUUUGGAUGCGCUUUAGCUUAGAAUUUGUAAUAUACCCGCAUGAUGAGGUGGCAAGCAAGGAUAAUGGGUGGCCUUCAAGGGAUUUAUCUGAUUUUUUUAAAUAUGUAGAGAUGAAGCUCAUCCCUACAUCUGUAAAAAUAUCUACAGUACUUUACUACUUUUGUUGUUGUAAUUUAUUUAACCUCAUACAACACAGCCUGUCACGCCCAUCAAUCUCAAUAUUUAUUACAGUAGUUUCACAUAUAAUCGAAGAACGACUCUCUUUUUGUGAUUUCAGAGAUCUUUAUUUGUAUAUCUAUUGAUAUUCAUUUCAAAUAUGUAUAGUUUUCUUGGUCUGAUUAAUAUUUUUUAAUUUUUUGUGUUUUUU